UACGGAGGGGGCUAGCGUUGUUCGGAAAUACUGGGCGUAAAGCGCACGUAGGCGGUGGAGUAAGUCAGAGGUGAAAAUCCCAGGGCUCAACCCUGGAACUGCCUUUGAAACUGCUACACUAGAAUCAUGGAGAGGUCAGUGGAAUUCCGAGUGUAGAGGUGAAAUUCGUAGAUAUUCGGAAGAACACCAGUGGCGAAGGCGACUGACUGGACAUGUAUUGACGCUGAGGUGGCGAAAGCGUGGGGAGCAACAGG
rnacentral:rRNA from 1 species